CAGCCGCCGCGGUAAUACGUAGGGUGCGAGCGUUAAUCGGAAUUACUGGGCGUAAAGCGUGCGCAGGCGGCUUUGCAAGACAGAUGUGAAAUCCCCGGGCUCAACCUGGGAACUGCAUUUGUGACUGCAAGGCUAGAGUACGGUAGAGGGGGAUGGAAUUCCGCGUGUAGCAGUGAAAUGCGUAGAUAUGCGGAGGAACACCAAUGGCGAAGGCAAUCCCCUGGACCUGUACUGACGCUCAUGCACGAAAGCGUGGGGAGCAAACAGGAUUAGAUACCCGAGUAGUCCCUGUCUCUUAUAC
rnacentral:rRNA from 1 species